ensembl:lncRNA
GCCAGAGUUCUCGCUAAUGCGGCGAAUCCUUGGAGAGCCACCAGAGAAUUGUUAUCUGUUGCCUGACCGGUGAAGAUGUUCAUUUGUUCGUUGGAUGUUCUGCAAUUCUGUGAAUGUUCAUUGGGGGAAAUUGCAUGCUGCAAUGUGCUGAACAGGACGGACAUCAGCCCCUCUCUCGCUCGCAGGAGUCAUUCAUAUUGGAAAAGCUCCGCACACAGUCUC